ensembl:snRNA
GUGUUGUAUGAAAGGAGAAGUUAGCACUUCCCUUGACAAGGAUGGAAGAGGCCGUUGGGCCUGACAACACUCAUAUGGUUAAAGCAUUGCCACCUACAUCGUGGCAUCUAACCACUGUUUUUA